CCAACCGCGAAGGAAGGCAACGGCCGCCAGGCUCACCGCCUCACCCGCCCUCCCCGACGCCAUCCUCAACCCUGCCCGCACCACGCCGCCCCCUCGCUUCCUCUUCCCCUACCCUGGGAGAUUCCUUCUUUGCUUCUCCAUGGAAACCCCAAUCUUAGCUCGCCGCCCUCUGCCACGGGGUUCUCCACCCAAGCCCAGCGUGAUUUCCCCAUGUCCAUUGGACGACUUCGCUCGCCGUAGGUCAUUCCAACCUACCUAUUAAUUGACGAGAAAUAGGGUCGGUUUCUUAGCUGGUGAUUUCUGCUCCGCCGUUAAAGAUCGUGGAGUUUCCUGACCCAGGCUUGAUUUGAGGGCGAAGAACAAGCGUAUCUUAGAUGAUAAUUUGAAGACAUUGGUUGAGAAGAUGUUUGAAAUAUCCACCAAACGAUCUGUGGAGUUUAUACAAAAUGUCAGAUAAUUUGAUCAAGCAGCCUCUGCCCUUUGGUACUAUCAUAUUUCCCAGACAAGGCUAUCUUAUUUUGGAACUUAUAAACAAGUAUGGACUUUCAAGUGUUCUCAUUGCAUUGCUUGUCAUGAGCGCUUCUAGUGAAUUCUUGUUUGAGAAAUAUCUAUACUACUUCUGGCAGAACUGAUGCAUCAAAAACUGUUAUGUUUCUUCUGAUGAACUAAUUCACCUGUGCAUAGAUUUUUGUUCCGUUAGUUGCUUGGAUAAGAUUCUGCUUGCCUUGGGAGGUUUUCAUCAGUCUUUGGCAUCAGAAACUUUAAUUUAAGCAGCUCCAGAAAUGCUUAGAAACAAAGGCUUAGUGCAUUAAGUAAAUAUUUCUAAUGAUUGUCAUUCAGCUUAUUUCGAUAAAAUUGAAUAGCUAGCACAGCUGCUGCAUGUUUCUCAAAAUUUGAAUCAACAUAUAUAACUAAUGAUCUGUAUAUAUACCAUUAACAAUGAAGUGAACUUAGCAUAACCUAUUUCCAUAUAUCAAUAUAUGUGGAGUGCCACUACGGGGAACAACAAUGUGCAUAUAUUUGCUUAUAUAUGAAAAUUAUAUAAACUCUUGUAGUAAUUGUAAUGAUGUUAACUGGAGAAUCUAGAUUUUUACUCCCAAUGGUGCAAAGGGGUCGUGAUAAUUAAAUGACCACACAUGUAUUUGCAUCAAUGAUUAUUGACCAUGGUAGUAUCAGCACAAGUCAUCAUCGGACAAGAUAGGUUUGCUUGUUGGUUUUCCAUUCUGCAGGCAGACAAUUGGAGGAACGGUUGGGGUGUACAGUUCCCCGAAAGCCUGCCAGCAGAAGGGUUCAUAAAUAUGAUAAUGUUCCUGUAGUGGUUCAAGCUCAACCUCGGUUAGGCUAAUGUCUGAACAUGGAGAGCUGUCGCUGCAAGCAAAGUGCACUGGUUUUACUGUAUAGGUCCCUUUUAUGUUCUCAUAUGCGAUGCUGGACAGUGCCACUGCUGAUGUCUGGUUCUUGCAGGAGCUUCUGUCACAGUAAAAUUGGUCUAUGACAACUGGAGUUUGGACCUCUGAUACUCUUAUGUUUGAGAAUUUUAUACUCUGGACGGAGCCCGAUCCACCCUGUGAUAAUUUAAUAGGUGAAGAUAAAAAAUAUUGGGAGGAAUCUGGUCUCCCACCAGGGGAUAAAACUUAAUUUUUUUGGUCACUAUUGUAUAUUGGAUAAACAUCUAGUGAGAUGAUGCCUAAGACUAAGAACACAGGAACUUGCAUUCUAAGCUGUUUUAAGAACAGGGAAGGCCUAAAAAUGUAUUAAAAAAAUGAAGUCAAGUUGGUCCCCAUGAUCAUUUUGACUCUUCGUAUGAGGGUCAACAGUCACCAGAAUAAUCAUUUUGUAUGUUAUCAAACAGGAAAUUCCUGAACGGCGUAUAGGCUAUACCGCAGCUCAUGUUGGUAUGAUGAAUCAUAACAUCUCUUGAAUUUUGAAGAUGUAUGCCAUCUGUGUUAAGGCUGCUUCCUGGUGAAUUGAUUGUCAUGUUGAAGACCUGGACAGCUUCACAAUUGUCAAACUUGAGGUGGCACUGUGGACUGUUCUGGAUUGUGAUGCCAGUUACUGUGACAUUGUAACUCCCAUAGAAUCUCAGAGCCUGCAGAACAGAAUUAGAGAAGAAAAAAUAUGCAAAGUAUUGUUAAUCAUGUCUUGAUUUUGCUUUAUUGUUAGAGUAGCUGCAAGGCAAGAAAUCUUACAGUUGGCUUGAUCUGCGGCAGUUUCAUACUGAGCUCAGCAUUUAUCUGUCAAAGGUUUCACCAUUAGGAAUAUCUGAUGAAUAUUAUGAUUAUUAUUAGAAUGGGAUAUGAGUCUGAAGGAUGAAAGUCAGGAGUUUUUGUUGAAUAUAUAUUGUGAGAUGGUACUUAUUCCUCAAGGUGACAAGAAUUACUUCAACAAAAAAUGAACCUGGAUUGGUUUUUCUUCUCUGGUAAGCAGAUAAGAAUUCUAGAAAUUGGGAACAGUGGGCAGAUCUAUUCAUAUAUUUAUGAUGGAGAUAGAUGUUUAUGUGGCUUACUGGAUCAACAUCAGACUCCAUAGUUGUCCACCAUACACUGCCUUGCCCUUCUAUUGUUCCACUGCCUUGAAUUGAUAUUCCUUGCAGCUUUGAGAACUCAAUCCACCACAGUAGCCCAGUACCCCACCUUUUGGCAUCAGUUGGAGCAAUGAUCAUUCCAUCCAGCUGCAAGAGAGUUCAGUUCUUCAUGUGUGUUUCAUUUUCUACAGAGCAUAUCAGUUUUCUCCUUUUGUUUGGACCCUGCUGGUGAACUUAGUUAAACCUUUUCUUUGGAGGAAGGAAUAACUUAAAUUAAACCUGUUUAUUCAUUACCAAUAGUUCCGAUGGUUCUUAUCGCAGGUUUGCUUAUGUAAGAGGUAGCUGCUGUUGCUGUGGGGGUUUCAUGGCUCAUACCCAUCCAAUCUAUCAAUAACAAAUUCUUGUCAAAUUAUACAAAUGUAUCUAAACUGGUUAACACUAGGAUCUAAUGUGAUAACUAUCUGAUUCUGGAUACCUGUCUUGGUUCCUUGAACCCAUGUAUUAAAUCUUUUAAGUUGUGGUCAGGCACAACCUGGACCUACACAGUGGAUCAUGACGAAACCUACUUGCCAAUAUAAUGACCAAUUGUUUCUAGCAAACUGUAGUACACAAGUAUCCUAUUUAGUUGUUUUUUCUUGUCAGUUACUUAUUUGUUUUGAGGAUUUUGUUUUCAGGAUUGAGCUGCGAGAUAUACCUGGAGAGCAAUGUUGGGCUGACAAUAAGGUCCAGAGAAGGAGAUAGGGCCUACAAGGAAUUCAAAUUCUGCUGGAACAACCACAGUUGACCCUUCCACCUUGCAAGCAGCAGCCCAUGCAGCCUGGAAGGCCUGCAUUUGUUCAUGAAGUCAGGUGUUAAAUGUGAUAAAAUGCCAAUCAAGGAGAGCCAUGCUGGUUUGUAAUGGUCAGCAAUGUGGAUUGGUUUCAGCUAAUACCAACAAGGAUACGAGGAGAAGGUAACAAUGGCUACCUCGGUGUCAUCUGUGAUGCCAUCUCCCUUUGCUCCGAAAUCGAGCACAUUGAACAUGGCUGUCUUCAUCGGAUACUCUGUUAUCGGGUUUGGGCUCAGAGUUGCACUCAGGGACAACACUACCCUAACAGCUUGCUGCAAGCUAGUCCAGGAGUUCUGCACCCUCUGCUACAUGCACAUCAACUCGUAACAGUGACAUGAAAGAUUACAAUUCCACGAAAACUCCAUCACAGAGGAGAGGGUUUCUGUAAGUGUGUUUCUUCCUGAUGCAUGCAAAGGCCGAAGUAGGGCACAUGAGUGGGGCAAUGACAACAGCAGCUGCUCCUGAUCACAUGCAGCUGAUCACGGGCGGGAGGAUACUGCUCUGUCCACUCUGGGAGUCAGGUUGAUCCAUUAGUAGCAAUCUGUACCUACGCUAGCAAUCUGUGCAAUCAUGGAGGAUGACAGAAUACAUACUCAAACAUCAGAACAGUGUGCCCUGUAGAAAGAUUCAUGGCUCCCAGAGUUCUAAUGCACAUGCUACUUGGAUCAGAAGGCAUCCAACAAUAGUUCACUUUCCCCAGAAGAAACCCUAAACAUUGAAGAAGAGCCAGGAGUCACACAGAUCAUUCUGGAACAGCUUCAAGAAAUAGCAACCACAACAGUUCUAACCAGGAAAAGAACAAGAAAUGGUUAAUCUGCAGCUCAAGUGAGGACUGUGCCAAGGACUGUCAGUUGUACUUCAUCACCUGCAGCAAAAUGGUUCCAUUCUGAUAUUUAUGUGGGCGAUACACUGAGAUCACCUUCUUUUCUGAUUGAAGCUUCACGAUAGAAAACAAUCAAAGUCUGCUGCCCUGGGCAAGUAAGUGAACAACUAAGCCAUGGGCUCCAUUCUGCUAUAUCUGUGGGCGAUAAGCUGAGAGCACCUUUUCUGAUUGAAGCUUCGUGGCUGAAAACAAUCCAAGUCUGCUGUCCAAGGCAAGUGAAUAACUAAGCCAUGCUUUUAGUGUGGUCUGCACUCUUGUGACCCACAGUACAUACAUGCAUUGCAGUUCUUCAUCUCACCCUGUUCAAAAGAUGAUCAGAACAGAUUGAAAGAAACAAUGGCCUUGACCCAUCA